rnacentral:rRNA from 1 species
GAUGAACGCUGGCGGCGUGCUUAACACAUGCAAGUCGAACGGAAAGGCCCAAGCUUGCUUGGGUACUCGAGUGGCGAACGGGUGAGUAACACGUGGGUGAUCUGCCCUGCACUUCGGGAUAAGCCUGGGAAACUGGGUCUAAUACCGGAUAGGACCACUUCUUGGAUGUUGUGGUGGAAAGUUUUUUCGGUGUGGGAUGAGCUCGCGGCCUAUCGGCUUGUUGGUGGGGUAAUGGCCUACCAAGGCGUCGACGGGUAGCCGGCCUGAGAGGGUGUACGGCCACAUUGGGAAUGAGAUACGGCCCAGACUCCUACGGGAGGCAGCAGUGGGGAAUAUUGCACAAUGGGCGCAAGCCUGAUGCAGCGACGCCGCGUGGGGGAUGACGGCCUUCGGGUUGUAAACUCCUUUCGCUAGGGACGAAGCGUUUUGUGACGGUACCUGGAGAAGAAGCACCGGCUAACUACGUG